rnacentral:ncRNA from 1 species
GAUUUAAGGCUAGCUUCAACGUCGUUUGACUAAGGGAAGUACUGUACACUGAUGGAAGGACCGGCGCCAAAGUCGUCUGCAAGGGACAGCAGUUUAAAAAAAACGCUAUCUCUUUUGCUGUAGAAGUCGAAAAUUUCUACGUGUUGCGGUGUCUGCCCUACCAACCUGACGGUAGUCUAUUAGUCAGGGUUAUUACGGGUUACGGAGAAUAAGGGUUUGACUCCGGAGAAGGAGCUUUAAAAACGGCUACCACAUCCAAGGAGGGCAGCAGGCGCAGAACAAAGCAAAUGACACUGUUUGUUGUCCUU